rnacentral:rRNA from 2 species
UCUCCUGGAAACGGGUGGUAAUGCCGGAUGCUCCAGUUGAUCGCAUGGUCUUCUGGGAAAGCUUUCGCGGUAUGGGAUGGGGUCGCGUCCUAUCAGCUUGACGGCGGGGUAACGGCCCACCGUGGCUUCGACGGGUAGCCGGCCUGAGAGGGCGACCGGCCACAUUGGGACUGAGAUACGGCCCAGACUCCUACGGGAGGCAGCAGUGGGGAAUAUUGCACAAUGGGCGCAAGCCUGAUGCAGCGACGCCGCGUGAGGGAUGGAGGCCUUCGGGUUGUAAACCUCUUUUAUCGGGGAGCAAGCGAGAGUGAGUUUACCCGUUGAAUAAGCACCGGCUAACUACGUGCCAGCAGCCGCGGUAAUACGUAGGGUGCAAGCGUUAUCCGGAAUUAUUGGGCGUAAAGGGCUCGUAGGCGGUUCGUCGCGUCCGGUGUGAAAGUCCAUCGCUUAACGGUGGAUCCGCGCCGGGUACGGGCGGGCUUGAGUGCGGUAGGGGAGACUGGAAUUCCCGGUGUAACGGUGGAAUGUGUAGAUAUCGGAAAAGAACACC